rnacentral:rRNA from 1 species
UACGUAGGGGGCGAGCGUUGUCCGGAGUUACUGGGCGUAAAGGGUGCGUAGGCGGCCUAUUAAGUCAGGUGUGAAAAACCUCGGCUCAACCGGGGUAUUGCACUUGAAACUGAUGGGCUUGAGUGCAGGAGAGGGAAGUGGAAUUCCUAGUGUAGCGGUGAAAUGCGUAGAUAUUAGGAGGAACACCAGUGGCGAAGGCGGCUUCCUGGCCUGACACUGACGCUGAGGCACGAAAGCGUGGGGAGCAAAC